GAAGAGGAGGAGGAGAAGAAGAAUUUUCAUGCUGGGUUCUUAAAAUCUUCAAUUUCUCAUUUGGUUUAGAAUGGUAAGUAUAAGUUUAUUGAAUUAAAUUUUUAAGGGUUAUGGAAAACUUGCUUUAAUUCAAAGUCUAGCAAGAAUUAUGUGUUAUUGAUAUGUAUUUGAUGAUUAAAAUAUGUAUAUGUCAAAGAGAUAUGUAUUUGGAAAUUAGUGUUGAAGAAAGUGGAAACUUUGGAAAUGGGCUUGUGAUAUAAAGGCAUAUUAUUUGAAAUUCUUGGAAUUAUGUGAUGCUAAAAACUUAAAUUAAGGAUUUGAGGUUGAAAUUCUCCAUUUUUUUUAGCAAUUUUCGAGUUUUUGUAAAACAGGUGCUAGUUUUGAAAUUCUGCCCAGAAAGGUGCUAUUUCUGUCAAUGUUUUUGGUGACAGAGUUCAAUAUUCAGAAAUUGGUGCCAAUUUUCAAUAUUCUAAAAUUAUAGUGCUAGUUUUGUCAAUCAUCUAAUUUUGGUGGAUUUUUAGUAUUGGAACCAAAUUAAGUGUUAAAUAUUUGAGGUUUUUUAUAUAAAGAAGUAUAUGUUGUUAAUGACUCUAAAUGGGAUUAUGAGAUUGAAAAUAAAAUAUGUGAAGUUUUCAUUGGUAAAUUAUUAUUUCUAAUGGUAAGAAAAUACUCAAGGAACACUUGUGAAGGGAUAUGAUUUAUUAGAGUGAGAGCAUGAUAUUAUACUUGGAAUUUGAAAGUGUUGAGGCGACGAGAAUAUCGAAACCAUGAUCGAGUGAGUGGAUAUAAACUUAUUUUUCAGAAAUUAGAAUUUAUAAAAUUUAUAUUAGUUCACAAAAAUUAUUAUUUCAUACAGUUGAUUUUAAAGCAUGAUUUUCAGAAUAAAGUGGAUUUAUAAUCAGUUGAUCUUUUUAAUGUUUGAUUCAGUUCAUUUAAAUUAUUUGAUUAGAAUGUUAUAUGAAUAUUAAAUAUUUCAGUAUAUUUAAAGUUAUUUUAAAACCAUCAGAAAGUACCUAGAUGAAUUUACCCUAGUCUACACUUAUGUGAAUGUGUUUCCACAGUAUAUGACUCCAUAUGGUUAUUUUACCCGCUCAGCACUGGUGUAAAUGUGUUUCUACAGUGUAUGACCAGUUUGGUGAUUUUACCCGCUCUGCAUUAUUGUGAAUGUGUUUUCAUAGUGUAUAACCAGAAUUACAGAAUUUCAGCUUUGUGCGCGUAUGACUAGAAUUUCAGAAUUGAAUAACUUUGUCGUGUCUAUCGGUGCUAACCGAUAUAUGAGUAUAGUUAUUCCGGGUACCUUUUUGGUGUGAUUUUUCAGUAUUAUACAGUUUAUCAGAUUUCAAAUUAUAAAAUUCAAUUAAUUCUGUUUUCAGAAUAAAGCUUUUAGCUUAUAGUAUUGACCAGUAGCAAUAUUUCAUAAAUUUUCAUGAAUAUCAGAUUAUUCAUUAACUUUACAUCUACUUAUCUAGAAUUAAGAACAAAGAAUUGUAUGAUGCAAUCAUGUUUUGGUUUUAAAAGUGUUACCAGAUUUCAGAAUUGUUCAAAGAUUUAAUAAAGCUAAAAUUUUCAGAAAAUAUGUAGAAAUGGAAAAAGUAUAUUUAUUCGCAAAAUAUACACUCACUGAGCUAUAAGCUCAUAUGUCUUUUCACCUUUUUUCUUAUCAGAUAUCAGCUGAAUUGAGCAGCUUUGGAGCCUGUUGUUCCGCCAUAUUGAGUCACACGUCAUAGGUUGUAUGGCUUACUUUACCAGACUAUGUAGUACAUGUUUCUUUGAGUUAUAUGUAGUUUAUGUCAGAAAAGGUUAUCUUCGGUUCACUGCAUAUUUGGCA
rnacentral:lncRNA from 1 species